CUGCAUGACCUAAAUUUGAAGUUCAUUACUUAUGUAAUGUGAUUCUAAAUACCGAAAGAACUGGAAAUCCUCAUUUUGGGAACUAGGAGGGUACAUAAUUCUCUAUUACAUGCAUGAUCAUGAAAUAUGAUCAUGGAACUGAAACAUUAGGCAUGAGCAGGUCUUGGGAUAACUGGAAAUGCUAAAAUAACAAUGAGUUGGGCAUCAUCCUGUCUUACGAGUUUUCUACACUACACUGGCAUUUCAAUAAGAAUUUAGAAGUCUGACUUGGUUACUCCUUCUAUCAUCUCCCCAUUAGACUUAAUCCAUCACUCUCAGUCUAUGAACCACUAUAUAAACUUUAAUCUAAACCUCAAUCACUAUAUUCUCGUGUCUGGGAUAAAAUUACUACACAAAAAACAAAGCUUACUCUGAAGGACUGUAUCUUCACAUAUAACACCCAAUGCUAACACCUCCUUGUAAGAUUCAACUCUUAGAUUUCUAUAGCCUCAUAAGGC
rnacentral:lncRNA from 1 species